AUUGAACGCUGGCGGCGUGCCUAACACAUGCAAGUCGAGCGGUAACAGGUGUAGCAAUACAUGCUGACGAGCGGCGAACGGGUGAGUAAUGCUUCGGAAUCUUCCUCGUAGUGGGGAAUAACCUGGGGAAACUCAGGCUAAUACCGCAUACGAACUACGGUUGAAAGCAGGGGAUCGCAAGACCUUGCGCUAUGAGAUGAGCCGAAGUCGGAUUAGCUAGUUGGUGAGGUAAAGGCUCACCAAGGCGACGAUCCGUAGCUGGUCUGAGAGGACGACCAGCCACACUGGGGCUGAGACACGGCCCAGACUCCUACGGGAGGCAGCAGUGGGGAAUAUUGGACAAUGGGGGCAACCCUGAUCCAGCGACGCCGCGUGUGUGAAGAAGGCCUGCGGGUUGUAAAGCACUUUUAGUGGGGAUGAAAAGCCGAAGGCUAAUACCUUUCGGUCUUGACCUAACCCAAAGAAAAAGCACCGGCUAACUCUGUGCCAGCCGCCGCCGUAA
rnacentral:rRNA from 1 species